rnacentral:rRNA from 1 species
CCUACGGGAGGCAGCAGUGGGGAAUAUUGGACAAUGGGGGCAACCCUGAUCCAGCCAUGCCGCGUGUGUGAAGAAGGCCCUCGGGUUGUAAAGCACUUUCAGUGAGGAAGAACGCCUGGUGGUUAAUACCCAUCAGGAAAGACAUCACUCACAGAAGAAGCACCGGCUAACUCCGUGCCAGCAGCCGCGGUAAUACGGAGGGUGCGAGCGUUAAUCGGAAUUACUGGGCGUAAAGGGCGCGUAGGUGGCUUGAUAAGCCGGUUGUGAAAGCCCCGGGCUCAACCUGGGAACGGCAUCCGGAACUGUCAAGCUAGAGUGCAGGAGAGGAAGGUAGAAUUCCCGGUGUAGCGGUGAAAUGCGUAGAGAUCGGGAGGAAUACCAGUGGCGAAGGCGGCCUUCUGGACUGACACUGACACUGAGGUGCGAAAGCGUGGGUAGCAAACAGGAUUAGAUACCCUGGUAGUC